ACAGCAGCAGCCACGGUAAUACAGAGGGUGCGAGCGUUAAUCGGAUUUACUGGGCGUAAAGCGUGCGUAGGCGGCUUCUUAAGUCGGAUGUGAAAUCCCUGAGCUUAACUUAGGAAUUGCAUUCGAUACUGGGAAGCUAGAGUAUGGGAGAGGAUGGUAGAAUUCCAGGUGUAGCGGUGAAAUGCGUAGAGAUCUGGAGGAAUACCGAUGGCGAAGGCAGCCAUCUGGCCUAAUACUGACGCUGAGGUACGAAAGCAUGGGGAGCAAACAGGAUUAGAGACCCCGGUAGUCCCUGUCUCUUACAC
rnacentral:rRNA from 1 species